CCUGCCUGUAAGACUGGGAUAACUCCGGGAAACCGGAGCUAUUACCGGAUAGUUCCUUGAACCGCAUGGUUCAAGGAUGAAAAACAGUUUCGGCUGUCACUUACAAAUGGACCCCCGGCGCAUUAUCUAUUUGGUGAGGUAACGGCUCACCCAGGCGACAAUACGUAUCCCACCUGAGAGGGUGAUCGGCCACAUGGGACUGAGACACGGCCCCCACUCCUACGGGAGGCGGCACUAGGGAAUCUUCCGCAAUGGACGAAAAUCUGACAGAGCAACGCCGCGUGAGUGAUAAAAGUGUUCUGAUCUUAAAACUCUGUUGUGAGGGAAAAACAAAUGCAAGAGUAACUGUGUGUACCUUGACGGUACCUAACAACAAAACCCACGGGUUAACUAAUGCCCCCACCCCGCCGGUGAUUACAUAUGGUGGCAAACCGUUUUUCCGGAAAUAUUGGGGCGUAAAAGGGCUCCGCAGGGGGGUUUUUUUAUUCCUGAUGUGAAAACCCCGGUCCUCCACCCGGGGA
rnacentral:rRNA from 1 species